CCUACGGGUGGCAGCAGUGGGGAAUAUUGGACAAUGGGCGAAAGCCUGAUCCAGCCAUGCCGCGUGUGUGAAGAAGGCCUUCGGGUUGUAAAGCACUUUCAGUGGGGAAGAAAGCCUUGGGGCUAAUACCCUCGAGGAAGGACAUCACCCACAGAAGAAGCACCGGCUAACUCCGUGCCAGCAGCCGCGGUAAUACGGAGGGUGCGAGCGUUAAUCGGAAUUACUGGGCGUAAAGCGCGCGUAGGCGGUCUGAUAAGCCGGUUGUGAAAGCCCCGGGCUCAACCUGGGAACGGCAUCCGGAACUGUCAGGCUAGAGUGCUGGAGAGGAAGGUAGAAUUCCCGGUGUAGCGGUGAAAUGCGUAGAGAUCGGGAGGAAUACCAGUGGCGAAGGCGGCCUUCUGGACUGACACUGACGCUGAGGUGCGAAAGCGUGGGUAGCAAACAGGAUUAGAUACCCCUGUAGUC
rnacentral:rRNA from 1 species